rnacentral:rRNA from 1 species
UACCGAGGCCUCGAGCGUUAGGCGGAAUCACUGGGCUUAAAGCGUGUGUAGGCGGACUUCUAAGUACCUUGUGAAAUCCCACGGCUCAACCGUGGAACUGCUUGGUAUACUGCGGGUCUUGAGCCACCUAGGGGCAAGUGGAACAAACGGUGGAGCGGUGAAAUGCGUAGAUAUCGUUUGGAACGCCAAUGGUGAAAACAACUUGCUGGGGGUGUGCUGACGCUGAGACACGAAAGCCAGGGGAGCAAACGGG